rnacentral:rRNA from 1 species
AUACGGAGGAUCCAAGCGUUAUCCGGAUUUAUUGGGUUUAAAGGGUGCGUAGGCGGACUGGUAAGUCAGCUGUGAAAGUUUGCGGCUUAACCGUAAAAUUGCAGUUGAUACUGUCAGUCUUGAGUGUGCAUGAGGUGGGCGGAAUUUGUGGUGUAGCGGUGAAAUGCUUAGAUAUCACGAAGAACUCCGAUUGCGAAGGCAGCUUACUGGACUGUAACUGACGCUGAUGCUCGAAAGUGUGGGUAUCAAACAGGAUUAGAUACCCUGGUAGUCCACACAGUAAACGAUGAAUACUCGCUGUUUGCGAUAUACGGCAAGCGGCUAAGCGAAAGCAUUAAGUAUUCCACCUGGGGAGUACGCCGGCAACGGUGAAACUCAAAUGAAUUGACGGGG